rnacentral:rRNA from 1 species
CCUACGGGAGGCAGCAGUGGGGAAUAUUGGACAAUGGGCGCAAGCCUGAUCCAGCAAUGCCGCGUGAGUGAUGAAGGCCUUAGGGUCGUAAAGCUCUUUUACCAGGGAUGAUAAUGACAGUACCUGGAGAAUAAGCUCCGGCUAACUCCGUGCCAGCAGCCGCGGUAAUACGGAGGGAGCUAGCGUUGUUCGGAAUUACUGGGCGUAAAGCGUACGUAGGCGGUUAUUCAAGUCAGAGGUGAAAGCCCGGGGCUCAACCCCGGAACGGCCUUUGAAACUAGGUAGCUAGAAUCUUGGAGAGGUCAGUGGAAUUCCGAGUGUAGAGGUGAAAUUCGUAGAUAUUCGGAAGAACACCAGUGGCGAAGGCGACUGACUGGACAAGUAUUGACGCUGAGGUACGAAAGCGUGGGGAGCAAACAGGAUUAGAUACCCUGGUAGUCCACGCCGUAAACGAUGAUAACUAGCUGUCCGGGCACUUGGUGCCUGGGUGGCGCAGCUAACGCAUUAAGUUAUCCGCCUGGGGAGUACGGUCGCAAGAUUAAAACUCAAAGGAAAUUGACGG